GAAUUUAAUAUAAAUAUUUUUAUAAUUUUAUUAAAAUAGAUAAGGAUUUUUAUAUUUAGUUGGGAGGAUUGUUAAAUUUUAUUAACUUAAAUUAAUAUAAUAAAUAUUAAUUAAUGAAUUUAAGAAUGGUUAUGAUAAUUAAAUAAGAAUUAAUUACCUUAGGGAUAACAGCAUAAUAUUUUUGGAGAGAUCAUAUCGAUGAAAAUGUUUGU
rnacentral:rRNA from 1 species